AGCAGCCGCGGUAAUUCCAGCUCCAAUAGCGUAUAUUAAAGUUGUUGCAGUUAAAAAGCUCGUAGUUGAAUUUCGGGAUUUGUCAGUUGGUCGGGCUUCACUGUCCGUAUUGACUUGAUGGAUUCUUACCUUCUGAAUAACCAGCAUGCUAUUAAGUUAGUGCGUUGGGGAAGCAGAUCUAUUACCUUGAAAAAAUUAGAGUGCUUAAAGCGAGCUAGUGCUUGAAUAGAUUAGCAUGAAAUAAUAAAAUAGGACGGCAUGGUUCUAUUUUGUUGGUUUCUAGGAUCACCGUAAUGAUUAAUAGGGAUAGUUGGGGGCAUUAGUAUUCAAUUGUCAGAGGUGAAAUUCUUGGAUUUAUUGAAGACUAACUUCUGCGAAAGCAUUUGCCAAGGAUGUUUUCAUUAAUCAAGAACGAAAGUUAGGGGAUCGAAGACGAUCAGAUACCGUCGUAGUCUUAACCAUAAACUAUGCCGACUAGGAAUCGGACGAUGUUAAUUUUAUAAUGACUCGUUCGGCACCU
rnacentral:rRNA from 1 species